rnacentral:rRNA from 1 species
UGGGGAAUAUUGCACAAUGGGCGCAAGCCUGAUGCAGCCAUGCCGCGUGUAUGAAGAAGGCCUUCGGGUUGUAAAGUACUUUCAGCGGGGAGGAAGGUGUUGAGGCUAAUAACCUCAGCAAUUGACGUUACCCGCAGAAGAAGCACCGGCUAACUCCGUGCCAGCAGCCGCGGUAAUACGAAGGGGGCAAGCGUUAAUCGGAAUUACUGGGCGUAAAGCGCACGCAGGCGGUCUGUCAAGUCGGAUGUGAAAUCCCCGGGCUCAACCUGGGAACUGCAUUCGAAACUGGCAGGCUAGAGUCUUGUAGAGGGGGGUAGAAUUCCAGGUGUAGCGGUGAAAUGCGUAGAGAUCUGGAGGAAUACCGGUGGCGAAGGCGGCCCCCUGGACAAAGACUGACGCUCAGGUGCGAAAGCGUGGGGAGCAAACA